AUACGAAGGGGGCUAGCGUUGUUCGGAAUUACUGGGCGUAAAGCGCGCGUAGGCGGACUGAUCAGUUGGGGGUGAAAUCCCAGGGCUUAACCCUGGAACUGCCUCCAAUACUGUCAGUCUUGGGUUCGGGAGAGGUGAGUGGAAUUCCUGGUGUAGAGGUGAAAUUCGUAGAUAUUAGGAAGAACACCAGUGGCGAAGGCGGCUCACUGGCCCGAUACUGGCGCUGAGGCGCGAAAGCGUGGGGAGCAAACAGGAUUAGAUACCCUAGUAGUCC
rnacentral:rRNA from 1 species